rnacentral:rRNA from 1 species
AGACCGUUCUCUUCAGAGGCCGGUCAUUGGAAUGGGUACAAUUUAAACCCUUUAACGAGUAUCUAUGAGAGGGCAAGUCUGGUGCCAGCAGCCGCGGUAAUUCCAGCUCUCAAAAUGCAUAGAAUCAUUGCUGCGGUUAAAAAGCUCGUAGUUGGAUCUGUGCUGGCGGGUCGGUCCACCUUCGGGUGCGCACUGAUUUCGCCGGCUUUCCUGCUGUAUUUGGCCCUGUGCCUUUCAACGGGUGCAGUGUCCAGUGCAGCAAGUUUACCUUGAACAAAUCAGAGUGCUUCAAACAGGCGUUUCGCUUGAAUGUUCGUGCAUGGAAUAAUAGAAGAGGAUUUCGGUUCAAUUUUAUUGGUUUUAUAGACUGAGAUAAUGGUUAACAGAGACUAACGGGGGCAUUAGUAUUGCUACGUGAGAGGUGAAAUUCUUGGACCGUAGCAAGACUGACUACAGCGAAAGCAUUUGCCAAGAAAGUCUUCAUUAAUCAAGAACGAAAGUCAGAGGUUCGAAGGCGAUCAGAUACCGCCCUAGUUCUGACCGUAAACGAUGCCAACUAGUGAUCCGCCGGUGGAACAUUCGCCCUGGUGGGGAACUUCCCGGAAACGAAAGUCUUCCGGUUCCGGGGGAAGUAUGGUUGCAAAGCUGAAACUUAAAGGAAUUGACGGAAGGGCACCACCAGGAGUGGAGCCUGCGGCUUAAUUUGACCCAACACGGGAAAACUCACCCGGCCCGGACACCGUAAGGAUUGACAGAUUGAUAGCUCUUUCAUGAUUCGGUGGAUGGUGGUGCAUGGCCGUUCUUAGUUCGUGGAGCGAUUUGUCUGGUUUAUUCCGAUAACGAGCGAGACUCUGGCCUACUAAAUAGUUUACACAUUGCUUCUGUGUGCAUAACUUCUUAGAGGGAUUUUCGGUGUUCAGCCGCAAGAAAUUGAGCAAUAACAGGUCUGUGAUGCCCUUAGAUGUCCGGGGCUGCACGCGCGCUACACUGGCAAAAUCAGCGUGCUUGUCCUUCCCCGAAAGGGGUUGGUAAACUCGUGAAAAUUUGCCGUGAUUGGGAUCGGAAAUUGCAAUUAUUUUCCGUGAACGAGGAAUUCCAAGUAAGUGCGAGUCAUCAACUCGCGUUGAUUACGUCCCUGCCCUUUGUACACACCGCCCGUCGCUGCCCGGGACUGAGCCGUUUCGAGAAACUUGGAGACCGCUGAUUUGGUAACUUCGAUUGCCAUUUUGGUGGGAACCAAUUUA